rnacentral:misc_RNA from 1 species
UUUUGAGCGUUUGCUUUUUAUUAAGCUCGUUCGUAAUAUAUUAGCAUCUCAAUUUCGUAAUCGGAUUGACUCAGCGUAAUAGACUAUUCGCUGAGGACACUACUUGUAGUGGCCGAGAAUGAAAAAGUUAGAAGCUUCCAACCCUUCUAGUCAUUUUUGAUUUAGACCUCAGAUCAGGCAGGAUUACCCGCUGAACUUAA